UGGGGAAUAUUGCACAAUGGGCGCAAGCCUGAUGCAGCCAUGCCGCGUGUAUGAAGAAGGCCUUCGGGUUGUAAAGUACUUUCAGCGAGGAGGAAGGCGUUGUGGUUAAUAACCGCAACGAUUGACGUUACUCGCAGAAGAAGCACCGGCUAACUCCGUGCCAGCAGCCGCGGUAAUACGGAGGGUGCAAGCGUUAAUCGGAAUUACUGGGCGUAAAGCGCACGCAGGCGGUCUGUCAAGUCGGAUGUGAAAUCCCCGGGCUCAACCUGGGAACUGCAUCCGAAACUGGCAGGCUAGAGUCUUGUAGAGGGGGGUAGAAUUCCAGGUGUAGCGGUGAAAUGCGUAGAGAUCUGGAGGAAUACCGGUGGCGAAGGCGGCCCCCUGGACAAAGUCUGACGCUCAGGUGCGAAAGCGUGGGGAGCAAACA
rnacentral:rRNA from 1 species